AGAUAAAAUAUUGUAUCAUAAAAUAUUCUAGAAAAAUGGUGGAAUAUACUGAGCAAGAUGAAGUCAGAAGAAAUUCUGAUGCUGAUCCGAAGCGAUUCUGACAUGCAAAUCGAUCGUCUGAUUUUGGUAUAGAGGUGAAAGGUCAAUCGAACAAUCUAGUAGCUGGUUCUCUCUAAGGUUUUCCUCAAGUAAGUAAUGAAGCUGUUAUAUUCGGUAAAGCGAACGCUUAAAGAAAUUGUGGGACGAAACGUCUUCAACCUAUCCUCAAAGUUUCAAUGAAUUUGACGUCUUGCUUGCUUGAGUGAAAUGUUGACAUUGAAUGUGUGCUCCACGUGGGCCAUUUUUGGUAAACAGAAUUGGCGCUGUGGGAUGAAUCAAAUGUUAGUAAAAGUCAGAAAGUUUUUGGAUUAUUCUAAAAUUUCGUUAAUAUUGCAAUUUUAAUACUACACCUCCUGUUGUUGAUUUGUUUCGUUGAGUGCUGCUGCUUGAUUUCAUUUUUAACUUGUCAGAUUCU
rnacentral:ncRNA from 1 species